rnacentral:lncRNA from 1 species
GGGGGGAGGGGGCCUGGGAUUUUUAUUGUGUUCAUAAUUUUUUUUUUCAGAACCUUCCUCCGACAAAAUAUUUUUUUUUCUUAUGAGAAGGAAAGCAAAAUUUUUUUUCCUAUAAUGUGGAACAGAAAUACAAUUUUUUUUCUUCACAAAACCAUAAAAUUAACAUAAAAUUCAUUUUAAUUUUUUAAUUGAUGUAAAAUGUAAAGUGCAUGGCUCUGUCUAUAUCCUGGCAUUGGCUGUUGUCUCAGUUGUUUUUUUUAGCCCACUUUCUACAUUAUGAUAUUCUCGGAGUCCGUCAUACAGGUAUCCUUAAAUUUUAAUACUGCAAUUGAAGUGGCCACCAUUGCCAUAUGUAAUGGCAAAUAGUGAGUAGCUCCAACUUAUAAAAUCCACUGUUUCCAACUAUGAUAAUUGACAUUCCAUUGAAAAAAAGUGGUAUAAAGAAUGAUACAAACGGAAAAUACUACCAGUAUACAAGUCUGUGUCAUACACAAUCAGGGCUAUCUUAAAAGACUGCUUAUGAUACCAUAUCUAUUCCUGUUAUAAAAUGACCAUUUCAUGUUUAUAAUAGUUGCAGUUUUAAGUAUGGUCUUACAGUAGUAACAUAUAUAUGCGGGAGAUUUGGAAUUCUUAUAAAUAUUUCUGGAUCAAACACUAUUAUAGGAACAUACAAAAAGUGAUAAGGUAUAAAGAUCUAUAAAUAGAAAUCUUAGCUUAAUCUGUAUACUGGACAGAUGUUUAUAAUCUGCUGUUUCACUGUCUCGUCUGUUGUUAGUUUCACCAUUCUCAAAUUCAGCAGUGCAAAAAAAAAAAUUUCAAGCAGGUGACAGCAUAAAUUUUUUUCAGCUUCAGUGCAAAAUAUAAUUUUUUUUUCGGUCAGCUAGGCCAUCAAAAUAUUUUUUUCAAAAAAAUCCCAGGCCCCCCCUAGAUAAGAAAAUGGUUGUUGCCUUAC